rnacentral:lncRNA from 1 species
UCUGGACUGCUGGGACUCUAAGCUAGGCCCUCCCCAGGUUCCAUCACUGCGGCGCCAACCCGCGGCUGGGCUGUCCGCAAGAGGGAGUUGAAGGCGCGCGGAAUCCCGAGGUGCAGCUGACCCUCCUCUCAACGCCGACUCUGCCGCUCCCGCCCGGCCACCUCCCUGUCGGGCAGACUUCCUGUUCUCCUGCUCACAGCAGGGAGGCAGUCGCCGAGCCGGUCAGCAGCGUGCACGGAGAUCUUCACUCUGCGCCCAGCCCCGGGACACAGGUGCAGAUCUCCAGCGGAGCACUGCGGAGUGCGCGCCGUCGAGCACUAGGGAAUCCUAGACGGAGGACUUGGUCCAUUCCACGCAGUCCCAGGCAGGUCCGCAGCGGAGGGACGCAGCGGUCUCCAACUCCUGGUCACGACUUCGGCGACCCUCCACCCCCUGAGAGACCUGGUCCCACGGAGCUGUCCCCCCAGGAGCCGCAGCGGGAAUAGCAAAGCAAAGGGGACCACUCAGCCCCCAGGAGGAGCCCUGAAGCAAAAAGGUUGCUGCGGGGAGCCACGUUCCCUCUGGUUCACCUCGAAGCCCAGGAGCUCCGGUCCCUGGACCAAGGAGUGAACAGACCUGAGGAAGAGGUGCAAGCUUAAAGUGUUGCUGCCAGACCUUUCUUCUCUUCUAAUUUACCAAGUGAAGAAUGUUGAAAUAUCCAACUAUAAUUUGUGGAUUUCUCCUUUCAAUGCUAUCAUUUUUGGUGCUUCAUGUAUUUUUGAAGCUCUAUUAUUAGUCCAGCCGAGCUGCCAUCUCUUCAAGGAAGUUUUCCCUGAAGCCCUCAGGUAGACCCGUUUUUCCAUGGCGGCCACAUCAGCAUGCAGCACAUUUAAUUGGAAGUCUCCACAUAUGAGUUGGUUUUCCUUACUUAAAAUAUGCUUAUCAUCCCUUGGAGGUCUGAUGCAUUUUUCUGUCUCUGCAGACCAGCUCCUCCCCCCUCCAAAUCUCAAUGGAAGAAUGCGACAUUCUGGAUUCAGCUACCCAAAGAGGGGUUUUUUCCCCCUCUUUGUCUCUAUUAUACAUUUUAUAGGAAGGAAUUCUGUCCCAGUUAAUUCAAACUGGGACCAGAGGAACAGGGUCCCGCUGCUCAAAAUGGCUGUCACCCGUGGGUAAGGGGAGCAGUCAGAGAGUCAUUGUGACUGGGGUGGCAGUCCCACUCCAAUCUGCCUUGUGGCUUCCUAGCCUGCAACAUACAUCCUCCCAGACAUACAAAAUGUGCCUCUGCCUGAGUCUUCCUGGCAGGGAGUUUGGUACCCCCCAACAUUGGGAGGGGAGCUUACAACACAGGACUAUCUCUUCCCAUAGAUAAUCUCCUCACAAAGCUCCACUCAGGACCACUUAUAUUCUUGAGCACUUGAAAAUAUUGGCUAUUUCCUUCUGACCCCCAUGGUUUCUUUUAAAAAAUUUGCUGUUGUUUGAAUUAUUUUUCUCUACAGGUAUUGACUGCUGCCUCAUGAAGGCUGGUCCUGUCUCUAUAGUGAAUAUUGUGCACCUCAGGGUAGAAUGGAGAGCAGAAGACUUCAAAUCAGGCAGUCUGGGUUCAGACCCCAAUUCUAGUGCUAAAUAGCUACGUGACUUUAGGCCGAUUGUGUGUGACUUCCCUGAGCCCCAGUCUCUUUGCCUGCAAAAUGAGAAAAAUUAUAACAAUGUCAUCGGUUGUUCUGAGGAUUCUGAGAGGAAUUAGUAGGAGAGAGAACUAAGAAGCUGCGGGCCUCUACAGAGCCAUUCAACUGGCAUUUCGGAAGAUGUUGCCCAUCAGAGUCAGACCUUCUUAGCAUCUUCCGGCUGGGCCCAAACUUCCCAAGACCAUUUGGACAAGGUCAUCUCUAUCCCACCAUGGCCUCCUCCCAGAGGAGGAGAAGAAUCAUGCUGUUACAGCAGAACCGAAGAUUUGGGCAAGGGAGCUAAUGAUUAUGUUCUGCGUCAGGUCAGAGAUGGGCUGGGAAAGCCACUCCAAAGCCAAGACAAGCAGUUUCCUGGAAAAAGAAGGCUGCGCGGAGCCCAGAGUGGCCUGGAUCCUGCCUCAUUUCCUGGACCAGCUCCUUAGGUGGUUACUGGAUUGCCAAUAAAGCAGAGCUUAUUAAAGUCAACGAGCUCAGGCUUCAUCGCCGCCAUGGUAUCCAAGCACCAGUCUGUCUGGGAUUUCAUUUGCCAGAUGGACAAAGGAGAGGUUGUUCCAAUACAUAUCCUGAGUGGUGGGGGUGGGGAGAGAAGGGGAAGAAUGCUCUCUAGAGAAUUCUCUUUGUCCUCUGAAGUAAAUAGAGAUCAUGUCUUCCCCAGCCACACUCAGUGAUCUGAAUCUCUUGGACUGUGGAUUUUUCCUUUACCUGCUGUGAAGCCUUGAAAAGUAUGAAUUAGCUUGAUAAUGAUCCUCUAAAGAUGUUCAAGAGUUAAAGACGUGUUUAAGUUCUUCAGGCAAUCCAAUAUGACUACGGGUUUCCAAAAAUUUGAAGGAAACUGAAAAUCAUAGUUCCCAAACCAGAUAUUUUCCGGUGUCCAGAUGUUCACUGGCAUGCAAACCAAAUGUCUGGAUUAUGAGCUCCUUUUUUCAUUUCUUUUUAUCAGCUUACAUCCAGAUGUUGGAUCCAACUGGUCAGAGGCCUGGGGCAGAGACAGAAAUCAAAUCUAGGGUGUUCAUCUAGAGUCUCCUGCUCCUCCAUUCCUGCUUCCUCCUCACGCUGCCCCCACAUCCUCCCCAACUCACCUUCAUGCUACAUCUCGGCAAAUACAGCUCAUAUCCAGGCACGGUGCAGCCCUUGACAGCUGGGUCCGCAAAGGCAGAUCGGAUGUUCUGCCAAUUGAAUGGAAACUGUCCAUAGUGGGGAGCAGAGAGCCUCAUCUUUUCUGGAACUGAACAUCCAUCCUUAAGGCCAGAUUUCUCCCAUCACCAACUUUAACUCCUGCCCUAGCCCUCUCUCUUCCUUUUCAAAACCCUCUCCACCCAGGAAGGGAGAUUCUGGAGCCAAGACUGUACCAGCCACACCUCCCCAGAGUUGUUAAGGAAGGAACUCGAAGCCAGGGGUGGUCUUCUGGCAAGCACCCCCACUACCAGUAGCAGGACAGAUGUGUUUCUAAUGGACUACACUAUCCCCGGAGGUCACAUGAUUCAGGCUGCCAAGGGUACCUGCCCUUGGGAAAUCAACUCCCGAAGAUAAAUUGGGAUUGGGUCCUGAGAAGAUCCAUGGAAGCCCAGAGGACCCUGCCUCUCUCUGUUGCUUCAUGCUGUAGAGGCAGUACUGGGGAGGGCCUGCCCCACAUCCGGCAGGGCAGCUGGAACCAUGUGUUUGAUGACACUCUGCUCCCUCAAUGUGGAGCCUCAUCCUCAUCUCACAGUCUAGCAGGCCUCUGGUGGGUUAGGCUUGUCUCACCCAGUGUGUGAGUUUUUUUGGAAGUGACCUGAUUUUGGAGUUUCCCUCCAAGCCUUUCUCAGGUACAUGCUUUCUCUUUUAUUCUGUCUUCUUUUUUUGAUCUUCUUAAAUCUGAUUUUCUCCUUUUUCCCUCUCUUGUCUCCAUCUUUUUUCCAGUCUCUCGCUUCUCUUUAUUUCUCCCCAUAUUUCACUCUGUUCUCUCACCCCAACCUUUCCCUUCUGUUUCUCUCCCUCCCUCUCUUCCCACCCCCUGCCUGGCCUUCCAUAUAUCAAGCAGAGUUUUAUCACCUUAUGCAGGGGCAGCCCUGCCACCUGCCAUAAAGUUGAUAGGCUAAUGACAUUUUGUGGAUAUUGCCAUGUCACAAGUCCAGGACAGCAUCAAAAAUAGCCCUGAUGUCUAAACCACUUCAGCUAUCUUUUUUAUUUUUAAAAUAAAUACAUUCACAUGCUUUUAAGAAACUAUAAAAAUAUAUAAAGUAAAAAGAUCUUUCUCUCACACUGUCUCCACCUCUCCUGGUCUCACCGUUGUGCUUAGGGGAAACCAUUGUGAUUAGUUUCUCCUGUGUCCUUCCAGAGUGUCUUUAUGCAAAUGAAAAUUAUUGUGAUAAUAUAUUCCUAUUUUCCCCCUUACUACACAAAAGAUAGACUACCAUAAUCCCAUUCUGCACUUUUUUUUCACUUGAUAAUAAAAACAUGAUUUUAUUAA